UACGAAGGGGGCUAGCGUUGCUCGGAAUUACUGGGCGUAAAGCGCACGUAGGCGGCUUUCUAAGUCGGGGGUGAAAGCCUGUGGCUCAACCACAGAAUUGCCUUCGAUACUGCAUGGCUUGAGACCGGAAGAGGUAAGUGGAACUGCGAGUGUAGAGGUGAAAUUCGUAGAUAUUCGGAAGAACACCGGUGGCGAAGGCGGCGCUCUGGACCGAGACUGACGCUGAGGCGCGAAAGCG
rnacentral:rRNA from 1 species